UCUCCUCACAGGUGGAAAAGGAGGGAACUAUACUCCAGCUUCAGGCAGGGACAGUGCCCAGAACUCUGAUGUGUCUCUCCCAGGCUGUGAAGCAUGAAGAAGGCUGCCCAUCCUGACAGAGUGACAGAGAUGUGCUCAGGUCUCUCCUGUGAUGUCCUGAGCCCCUCAGUUCACUCUCAGCAACAGUGUCUGAUGUUCCCUGUGACCCUGUGGGCUCAAUGUGAAGACCUGAGGAGCCCAGCCCCCCCUACACACCAGGACCCUGUCCCUGCACUGCCUGUGUUCCCUUCCACAGCCAAUCUUCCUGGUCCAGCAGGCAGGAGGGGACAUCUCCAUUCUGUCACCUCCAUGCUGCCCUGAGCUGCAGCCCCUGACUCCCCACUGAAAAUAAGAAUCUGAAUGUAAA